rnacentral:rRNA from 1 species
AUGAAGACAUGGCAGCUUUUCAUGGUCCAUCUUCUCACUCAUACCCUCCUUUUUCUCACAUCCAGCUUCUCUCAACCCACCAACAACCAAAGUAGCAACUACAGCGCCGAUCUCCCUGUGCUCCUAUCAUUCAAAUCGUUGAUAACCAGUGACCCUACAAAGGCACUGUCCUCUUGGUCUUGGGACCCUGUCAGGAAUGACACGAGCACGGUGCCAUUGCCUGAUUACUGCGAGUGGACGGGCGUGUCCUGCAGCAACCGCCGGCACCCAGGCCAUGUCACCGCCAUACGUCUGGAUGGCUUGCGCCUAGCCGGCACCAUCUGCCCGCAGCUCGGUAACCUGACCCGCCUCCGCGUCCUCAGUCUUUCGGACAACAACCUGCAAGGUGAGAUCCCAGGCACCCUCGGUGCUUGUACAUCACUUCAUGCCUUGGACCUGAGCAGGAACUACCUCUAUGGUUCCAUGCCUGCUUCUCUAGGUCUCCUAUCAAACCUCACAUCUCUCAACGUUACCCAUAACAAUCUGACUGGUGAUAUUCCCAUGUCAUUCUCCAACCUCACAGCCCUCACGAACCUUAGCAUGCAUAGCAACUACUUCCAUGGCCAAAUCCCCAGCUGGCUCGGCAACCUGACUUCACUGACACACUUAGGAUUAUCCCAGAACAGUUUCAAUGGCCAUCUCUCUCCAGCUCUAGGUAAGAUGGCUAAUCUUGUUAUAUUUGACAUCACAGCUAACAGACUGGAAGGCCCUUUUCCUCCAUCCUUGUUCAAUCUUUCUUCCGUCACAGACUUCCGCAUCAGCUUCAACCAGUUUUCAGGAUCUCUGCCGCUUGAUAUUGGCUUUAAGCUUCCCAAGCUACAUAUAUUCGCCACAAAUGGGAACCAAUUCGUUGGACCAAUACCAGCCUCCUUGUCAAAUGCAUCCGCACUUAAAGAUUUGUUUUUUCGCGGAAAUCAGCAUCAUGGGCUGAUUCCACGGGACAUUGGCAUCCAUGGUCAUAUCCGGAUAUUUUCCUUAGGACACAAUUUUCUUCAAACCACAGAGCGUAGGGAUUGGGAUUUCCUCACAUCCUUAACCAACUGUAGCAACCUGACAAUACUAGACCUUGAACAAAACAACCUCGAAGGUGUUAUGCCAGUCACUAUUGCCAACCUAUCUACAGAGCUCUACUGGCUUACAAUAGGCAGAAACAAAAUAGCUGGGACCAUACCUGCAGGUUUAGGAAAGUUUCAAAAACUUAGAAAGGUCAUCCUCGCAAAUAGCCUUUUCACGGGCACCCUGCCUCUGGAUAUUGGCCAGAUUCCUGGCCUCCAGUAUCUUGACCUAUCCCAUAAUAGAUUCUAUGGGCGGAUUCCACAGUCAUUAGGCAAUAUCACACAAUUGAGCAACCUCUCUCUAUCUAAUAACUUUCUAGAUGGCAGCAUUCCAGCAAGCCUUGGUACCCUCACAAAACUUGUAUCUCUGGAUCUUUCCGCUAACUCCUUGAUGGGGGAAAUCCCACAGGAGAUACUUAGUAUUCCCUCUCUUACCUUACUUCUCAACCUCUCCAGCAAUGCUCUAAGUGGCUCCAUUCCAACACAGAUAGGGAAGUUGAACAGCCUUGGCAUAAUCGACCUAUCAAUGAACAAGCUGUCUGGUGAAAUCCCAGACGCUCUCAGCAGUUGUGUCCAACUGAAUUUCCUAAAUUUGCAAGGAAAUCUUUUGCAAGGGCAAAUACCGAGAGGCUUUUCUUCUUUGAGAGGCCUCGAAAAGUUGGAUCUUUCCAAUAAUAACUUAGCAGGACCUGUACCUGAGUUCCUCCUGAGUUUGGAGCUCCUAACGUAUCUAAACCUCUCUUUCAACAACUUAUCUGGUCCCGUUCCAAAUACAGGGAUCUUUCACAAUGCCACUGUAUUGUUGCUCCCUGGUAAUGGCAUGCUAUGCGGGGGUCCCCCAUCCUUGCAACUCCCUUCAUGCCCAUAUAACCAGGCUUCGCAGCAUCGGUGUCGAGUCAUACUCUUUUGCAUUGUUGGAAUUUUGAUCUUCUUCAUGUGCUCCCUAACUGCAUGCUACUUGAUGAAGACAAGAAUCAAACCAAACAGUGGUGCUGAUCAAGAAAACGAAUUUCGCCAUGAGAUGCAUGAGAGGAUAUCCUAUGCUGAGAUAGAUGCAGCAACAGAGUCAUUCUCACCGGCAAAUUUGAUUGGUUCUGGAAGUUUCGGCAACGUGUACAUAGGAACUCUAAAUCUUGAUGAGAGUUUAUAUACUGUAGCAAUCAAGGUUCUCAAUCUUGGCAAACGAGGAGCUAACAGAAGCUUCUUGAGAGAGUGUGAAGCCCUAAGGAAGAUUCGACACCGGAAACUUGUCAAAGUGAUCACUGUGUGUAGCAGUUUGGACCGAAAUGGUGAUGAGUUCAAGGCACUUGUCUUAGAAUUUGUCUGCAAUGGAAAUUUAGAUGAGUGGCUGCAUCCAAAAGCAGCGACUAACAGCAUGACCUUUAGAAGGCUAAGGUUGAUGGAAAGGCUAUGCAUUGCUCUUGAUGUUGCAGAGGCAUUAGAAUAUCUUCACCAUCAAAUUGAGCCAUCCAUAGUUCACUGUGAUAUCAAACCAUGCAACAUCCUUCUAGAUGAUGACAUUGUUGCGCACGUUACCGACUUUGGUCUAGCAAAGAUAAUGCAUACUGAAGAAUGCGAGCAUGGUGGUGGUGGAACCGAAAGCAGCUCACUUGUAAUUAAAGGCACAAUUGGAUAUGUCGCACCAGAGUAUGGCUCAGGAUCCGAACCCUCCACGGAAGGUGACGUAUAUAGCUACGGGGUGUUGCUAUUGGAAAUAUUUACUGGAAGGAGGCCAACUGACAAUUUCAUGGAUGGUGUGACAGGCCUUGUCGGCUAUGUCAGGAUGUCCUAUCCUGAUAAGCUACUGGAAAUAUUGGAUGCUAGUGCAACCUACAGCGGAGACACGCAGCAUAUCAUUGAUAUAUUCUUAUGUCCUAUGUUUAAGCUUGCCCUAGCUUGCUGCGAGGAUUCCCCAAGGCACAGAAUGAAGAUAGAUGAUGUAGUCAAGGAAUUGAACAUCAUAAAGAGAGCAUGUGCGGCUCAUAAGGCUGUCCAUGAAUUUCGAGCAACCGCCUAA